rnacentral:rRNA from 1 species
CUCCUACGGGAGGCUGCAGUGGGGAAUAUUGGACAAUGGGCGCAAGCCUGAUCCAGCCAUGCCGCGUGGGUGAAGAAGGCCUUCGGGUUGUAAAGCCCUUUUGUCCGGAAAGAAAAGCUCGAGGUUAAUACCUUCGGGUUCUGACGGUACCGGAAGAAUAAGCACCGGCUAACUUCGUGCCAGCAGCCGCGGUAAUACGAAGGGUGCAAGCGUUACUCGGAAUUACUGGGCGUAAAGCGUGCGUAGGUGGUUCGUUAAGUCUGAUGUGAAAGCCCUGGGCUCAACCUGGGAAUUGCAUUGGAUACUGGCGGGCUAGAGUGCGGUAGAGGAUGGCGGAAUUCCCGGUGUAGCAGUGAAAUGCGUAGAGAUCGGGAGGAACAUCUGUGGCGAAGGCGGCCAUCUGGACCAGCACUGACACUGAGGCACGAAAGCGUGGGGAGCAAACAGGAUUAGAUACCCUGGUAGUCCACGCCCUAAACGAUGCGAACUGGAUGUUGGGUGCAACUAGGCACUCAGUAUCGAAGCUAACGCGUUAA